GAUGAACGCUGGCGGCGUGCCUAAUACAUGCAAGUCGAGCGACAAGACAGGGAGCUUGCUCCCCUACCGUUAGCGGCGGGCGGGCGGGUAACGCGUGGAUAACCUUCUUCUUAUACUGGGGUAACUUCGGGAGAACGGAGAUACUAAUAGAUAAUAUAUUCUACGGCAUGGUUCAAGAGUGCAUGAGGCUUUUGCCGUCUCAUAUAGAUGGUUCCGGACUGCCUUAGCUAGUUGGUAAGGUAACGGCAUACCAAGGCAACGAUGCGUAGCCGACCUGAGAGGAUGAUCAGCCACACUGGAACUGAGACACGGUCCAGACUCCUACGGGAGGCAGCAGUAGGGAAUCUUCGGCAAUGGGCGAAAGCCUGACGGAGCAACGCCGCGUGGGUGAUGAAGGCCUUCGGAUCGUAAAGCUCUGUUAUUAGGGAAGAAAAGAUGCAGAUGAAUCCAUGCACGUCUUGACGGUACCUAAACAGAAAGCCACGGCUAACUACGUG
rnacentral:rRNA from 1 species